CGAAGUCAAUGGAGAAACAGCCAAAGCUCGAGUUACUUCCAGGAGAGGCAAAGGAGAGGCAAGGACGCGGGACCCAGCACAGAGCUCACUGCACAAACGGCGCCGUGGGAGAGGGGCCUCUAGAGGGAUGGGGACGCCAGGGUCUCCUGCAGCCCAGGAGCGCCGGUAUUCCAAGGGCCGACUUUUCUGAGCCCAGCCUCCCCUUGCCCUAAGGAGACCGGCUGGAAGCGGCGCUGGCAGGCCAGGGGGCAAGGAUGGGAUGACCCCAAUUGAAGGGACAAGGCCAGCCAGGUCCCCAAAGUCCGCAACCCUAGUCCAGGCUGGAAAUCCGGGGCGUGGGUGCCCUGCAGGCGUGCUCUCCACUUCACCUGUGCAGCUCCGGUGGAGGCAGCCGCAGGAGGAUGGCAGCCGAGACAAGGAGGCAGCAGACCCUCCUCCGCUGCGGUGACCUCGCUCAGCGGGGGGUGCAUGUCAUUCGGCCAAGGAGAGGUCAAAGGCCAAGGCAGACAAGGCUAGAGGCUAGACUGGGCCUCCUACAUUUUCCACAACGCUGUGUGUGUGUGUGUGUGUGUGUGUGUGUGUGUUUCGGGGACAGUGAGUGGGACAAGGGAAAAGUAGAUGAGAAGGAGCAGGGCUUUGCAGCAGGGUGUGGAAAGAGCACUGCGCAGUGAGUCUGGAGACCCCUAUUCCAGACUCGGCUCUGCCUCUCAUUACUGUCUGACCUUGGACACAGCCCCUAGCUUGCUGGGGUAGCAGAUCUCUGGGGUUGAAAUGGGGCUCUGCCUGCUCCCCAGUUUAUAGAGUGGCAUUAGAUGCCCAGUAAAUCGUGGCAUUAGAAUAAGAGAGUGUGGUGGGGGGGAGGGGCACAUGGUUUCCAAAGGCAGAGGACUGGUGGUGGCAGGGGUGACCUUGACAACUAGUGGUGGGUAUAAAGCUGCCUGCAGGCCGGGCGCGGUGGCUGACACCUGUAAUCCCAGCACUUUUCGAGGCCGAGGCGGGCGGAUCACUUGAGGUGAGGAGUUUGAGAUCCACCUGGCCAAAAUGAUGAAACCCUGUCUGUACUAAAUAUACAAAAAUUAUCCGGGCGUCGUGGUGGGCGCCUGUAAUCCCAGCUACUUGGGAGGCUGAGGCACGAGAAUUGCUUGAACCCAGGAGGCGGAGGUUGCAGUGAGCUGAGAGCGUGCCACUGCACUGCAGCCUGGUGACAAAGUGAGACUCCGUCUCAAUAAAUAAAUAAAUUAAUUAAAAAAAAAACAGCCUGCAGUACACCGGAACCAGGGCUGGGGACAGGCAGUAAGAAGUGCAGCCCAGGGGUCUGCUUCCUCUGUUUCCCCACAGAAGCUCACCUUUCUGUUGCUUAAUAGAGCUGCCGGGAUGGGGCAGGACUCCCGUUCCCCCUCCUUCACUCUACCACCCAAGCGGUCCCCAAGGUGAAUGCCACAUUCUUUAGUGAGCUUAGCCCUGCUGAUGUGCGGUGGUGCCUUUUCUAGGGCCCCUGUGCCUGUCAGCCAAGUCUACCCUGACUAUGCAGGGAAUGGCUUUCUUCUCUUGCCCGUUGGCGUUGGCGGCAGGCAGGGGCCUAGAUGUUGGCUUCUUCACUUUCCCUCCCUGGCUCCACAGAUCUCCCCCAGUUGCAGGCUCUCUGGUUCCUUGAACUUCCAAAGAUAAAUAAAUAGUGAUUGCAAAUGGAGGAAGGGAGAAGGGGAAUGGACUCCCCCAGCAGGAGCCCUCACAGGCGGUGGCCCAGGCUGCAUUCCUCAGGAAAGAGCUGACAGCAGAGCCACAGCCCAUAGGCAGGGCUGUGCAGCCCUCCUGCUCACAGGCAAGGAAGACUCUGAGAUCUCUGGCCUGGGUCAUAUAGCUUUUCUGUGAUUUCCUUUGGCUAAAUGAAGACACUCAAAGUCUAAAGAAGAAUUCUACUGGAACACCCACUCCUGGAGGCUGAACAGAGGCCAAAGGACAUUUAAUGAGGCGAGGCUUCCCCACCACUAGGAAUGAAAUGUCUGAUGGAGACAUCUACAAAACACUGGACUGUCCUGAGGGUCACCACAUUUGACUUCUUACCCACCCAGGGAGGUGAUGAAGUGGAGGUUACUUUCUUAUUUUGCAAGUAUGGAUGAAGAAACUGAGUCACUGAGACUAGAGUCCAAGGGUAGGAACUUACUUUCUGAUUCCUUUUUUUGUGUAUGUGUGAGACAAGGUCUCUCUCUGUCACCCAGGCUGGAGUGCAGUGGCAGGAACACGGCAGCCUCGAUCUCCUGGGUUCAAUCCUCCCACCUCCGCCUCCCAAGUAGCUGGAACUACAGAUUUUAACAAUCAGACUCAGGUCAACAGUGGUUGAGAUAAUGGCCCAUAAUUGGCUCCAGAAUGCAAACGUGGCAUUUCUCCAGGAUUCCAUUAGCUCAGAAUGACAAGAUGAGGACUACUUCCUGCACGAUGACCACAGCGGCUAAGAGGCUGAGGCAGGAGAACCGCUUGAACCCAGAAGGUGGAGACUGUGGUGAGCGGAGAUUGUGCUGUUGCAUUCCAGCCUGGGCGGCAGAGCAAAAGUCUGCCUCAAAUAAAUACAUAAAUAAAUGUCCUCUGUGCUGUCUCUGUGGAGGAUCAAGAGUGGUGGGACCAGUGGGGGAACAGGAGACAGUGAGGAGGCCAGGCCCACAGGCCAGUGG
rnacentral:lncRNA from 1 species